AUACGUAGGUGGCAAGCGUUGUCCGGAAUUAUUGGGCGUAAAGCGCGCGUAGGUGGGAUAGUAAGUCUGCUUUAAAAGUGCGGGGCUCAACCCCGUGAUGGGGUGGAAAUUGCUAUUCUUGAGUGCAGGAGAGGAAAGCGGAAUUCCCAGUGUAGCGGUGAAAUGCGUAGAUAUUGGGAGGAACACCAGUGGCGAAGGCGGCUUUCUGGCCUGUGUCUGACACUGAGGCGCGAAAGCCAGGGGAGCGAACGGGAUUAGAUACCCCGGUAGUCCGGGCCGUAAACGAUGGGUACUAGGUGUAGGAGGUAUCGACCCCUUCUGUGCCGGAGUUAACGCAAUAAGUACCCCGCCUGGGGAGUACGGCCGCAAGGUUGA
rnacentral:rRNA from 1 species